rnacentral:lncRNA from 1 species
CUACAGUUCAUUAUUACAUGCGAAAUGUUUUUGCUUCGGAGCAGAACACUGAUCUAUCUCUGUCUUCAUAUCUUUUUCUUCUCAGAGCUGGAGUGUGAUGCCUUGCUCCUAUUCAUGGCUAUUGACCUACAAUUUUUGAACAAUCUAAAUUAGUUAUUCAUUCAAUGGGAAAUCAGAAGUGGGGAUUACUUUACCAAGAUCAUUAGCAAGUUUAUGAGGGAAAAGAAAGCGAUAUAACUUCCAAAAGCAAACGUAAGAAUGAAGUACAUAGUAUUAUACUCCCUCCGUUCCAAAAUAGAUGACUCAAAUUUGUACUAACUUUAGUACAAAGUUAGUACAAAGUUGGGUCAUCUAUUUUGGAACGGAGGAGUAGCUGGGAAAGUAGGAACAUGAGAUGCGGCGUGUUUUAGAAAAAAAUGGUCGAGUCCCUGAUCCUAGUAACAUGAGCUGAGAUUAUUUUGUCAGGGACUCAUGGUCAUGGCUGUAUAUAAUUUUCACAAGCAACAAACCUAUGUGACAACCUACCUUCGAUCACAAAGCUAUAUAAUCUAUAUAAUAGACAAAAAUGGAGCAUUCGAUAACUUAAAUACCUAUUUUUCCUACCAUAGUGUGAUGAGGCUCUGAAACUGCACAUACAGGGAUUUUCAUGGGACCAUUCAGGACUUUGAAAAAAGAUACAAAAACUGCAUUCAGCUCUUCCAUCUAAGGCUACCUCAAUAAUAAACCAAUACUAAAUGAUAGAAUAAUCUGAAAAUCGUAUAUGAUAACAAUGCAAAAUAAUCUUGCAGCACCUCCUAAAACUGUAAAAGCUGUGAAAUUGGCAGUCAACUUACUAUCAACGAGAAACACCACACUAUGAUAACAAUGCAAAAUAAUCUUGCAGCACCUCCUAAAACUAUAAAAGCUGUGAAAUUGGCAGUCAACUUACUAUCAACGGGAAACACCACACUGCACUAUAUUUUUCCAGGAACAAGAUGCUAAUAUGCUUUCCCGUUCCCCACUGCAAGGAUGCACGUCGUCUCCCCAUUCUCCACCGCGAGGACGCCGACGCGUCCCUGUUCUCCACCGCCAGCACGCCCAACUCCUCCCCUAUCUCCACCACAAGGACGUUGGGCGCCUCUUCGUUUGCCACCCUGAGCACCGCAUUGAGGUCGUCUAGCAAUGUACUAUCAAGGCAACUGCUUUUCAUUGUCCCCCUCUAUUAAUUUUUCGCCGCACACACCCCUUGUUAUUCUACACCUAGGACGGCUGUUCUUGUAGAUUUUGCCGACCACCAUGUUCUGCAGUAAAUAGUAUGGCUGCAGUCCAAUGUGUUGAUUUUCAGCAGGCCAAUGUGUUGAUUGACUAAUUUUGUGCAUCAAAAACAGUAGGGCAGUGUUGAUGAAUCAAUUUUGUUUAGUAAAAAACGGAGUCUGUGACAAUACUAUAAAAGCGCUAGUCUCCAAAGUCCACCAUGCCGCAAAAACAUUUAGCACCCAUUUAAAUAUGGAUUUGGGUUCAUAUAUACACAAAGCGCAGUAAUUGUUGUGAAGCAAGAAAAAUAAUGCUCCUACUAUCAGAAAUAUGUGCCGACAACAACACCAUCCUAUUAGAGCUCGAAAACAGGAACAGAGAAGGCACCUAUACCUGUUCAUGGAGCUGUGUCUGAACCUCCAUUUGCAUAUGUAGAGCUUCUGCCAAGUUCCUAAGAAAAGGAGAAGGGGACAGAUGUAAAUUUGUAAGGUCAUGGUAUUUACCAUGCAUACAUUCUAGUGUACUAAUUCAGAGAUAUUACUUGUUUUUGAACGGAGCACUUCCACUGCUACCUAGUCGUACCUUCUUAAUAUCUGAGGAGGCCUUCUUUGAUGCGUAUUCAGUAUAAAAAAGGACUGCUCAUGAGUAGAAAGAUCAUUGUCGCAAUUUGGAAUGACAUGUUCUAGUAGGAAUCCUAGAUAUACAAAGAGAGGAUUAGUUCGGCAGAAUCAAUACGAUUAUUAGUAAAAAAUACAGAGUCCGUAACAAUACUAUAAAAGCUUAGUCUCCAAAGUCCACCAUGCCGCAAAAACAUUUAGCACCCAUUUAAAUAUGGAUUUGGGUUCAUAUAUACACAAAGCGCAGUAAUUAUUGUGAAGCAAGAAAAAGAAUGCCCCUACUAUCAGAAAUAUGUGCCGACAACAACACCAUCCUAUUAGAGCUCAAAAACAGGAACAGAGAAGGCACCUAUACCUAUUUAUGGAGCUGUGUCUGAACCUCCAUUUGCAUAUGUAGAGCUUCUGCCAAGUUCCUAAGAAAGGAGAAGGGGACAGAUGUAAAUUUGUAAGGUCAUGGUAUUUACCAUGCAUACAUUCUAGUGUAAUAAUUUAGAGAUAUUACUUGUUUUUGAACGGAGCACUUCCACUGCUACCUAGACGUACCUUCUUAUUGUCCAAGGAGGCCUUCUUCUCUGCAUACAGUAUGCAUCAAAAUUCAGUAUAAAAAAGGACUGCUCAUGAGUAGAAAGGUCAUUGUCGCAAUUUGGAAUGACAUGUUCUAGUAGGAAUCCUAGAUAUACAAAGAGAGGAUUAGUUCGGCACAAUCAAUACAAUUAUUAGUAAAAAAACAGAGUCCAUAACAAUACUAUAAAAGCACUAGUCUCCAAAGUCAACCAUGCCGCAAAAAUAUUUAGCACCCAUUUAAAUAUGGAUUUGGGUUCAUAUAUACACAAAGCGCAGUAAUUAUUGUGAAGCAAGAAAAAUAAUGCUCCUACUAUCAGAAAUAUGUGCCGACAACAACACCAUCCUAUUAGAGCUCGAAAACAGGAACAAAGAAGGCACCUAUACCUGUUCAUGGAGCUGUGUCUGAACCUGCAUUUGCAUAUGUAGAGCUUCUGCCAAGUUCCUAAGAAAAGGAGAAGGGGACAGAUGUAAAUUUGUAAGGUCAUGGUAUUUACCAUGCAUACAUUCUAUUGUAAUAAUUCAGAGAUAUUACAUGUUUUUGAACGGAGCACUUCCACUGCUACCUAGUCAUACCUUCUUAAUGUCUGAGGAGGCCUUCUUGUCUGCAUACAGUAUGCAUCAAAAUACUGUAUAAAAAAGGACUGCUCAUGAGUAGAAAGAUCAUUGUCGCAAUUUGGAAUGACAUGUUCUAGUAGGAAUCCUAGAUAUACAAAGAGGGGAUUAGUUCGCCAGAAUCAAUACGAUUAUUAGUAAAAAUACAGAGUUAAAAACAAUACUAUAAAAGCGCUAGUCUCCAAAGUCCACCAUGCCGCAAAAACAUUUAGCACCCAUUUAAAUAUGGAUUUGGGUUCAUAUAUACACAAAGCGCAGUAAUUAUUGUGAAGCAAGAAAAAGAAUGCUCCUACUAUCAGAAAUAUAUGUCGACAAGGCGACAACAACACCAUCCUAUUAGAGCUCGAAAACAUGAACAGAGAAGGCACCUAUAGCUGUUCAUGGAGCUGUGUCUGAACCUCCAUUUGCAUAUGUAGAGCUUCUGCCAAGUUCCUGAGAAAAGGAGAAGGGGACAGAUGUGAAUUUGCAAGGUCAUGGUAUUGACCAAGCAUACAUUCUAGUGUAAUAAUUCAGAGAUAUUACUUGUUUUUGAACGGAGCACUUCCACUGUUACCUAGUUGUACCUUCUUAAUGUCCGAGGAGGCUUUGUUUUCUGUAUAGAGUAUGCAUCAAAAUUCAGUAUAAAAAAGGACUACUCAUGAGUAGAAAGAUCAUUGUCGCAAUUUGGAAUGACAUGUUCUAGUAGGAAUCCUAGAUAUACAAAGAGAGUAUUAGUUCAGCAGAAUCAAUAUGAUUAUGCAACAAACUAUCAACCAUUGCACUAUAUCUCAAGAAUUUAUAGUGUAGCCUCCAAACAAAGCGGCAAUCAAGGCAACAUCAAUCUAACAACAAUGGCUGACCGAUGAUGUUUUAGUCCUUCUGGUUUACUAAUUCAGAGGAACUGUAACAAAAAUCGCUCUUUGGUCAAUAGCAUCAACUGAUUCUUUGAAAUCUAAAUUCCAAUCU